AUGACAUGGCUGUGCCUCUUCCUCUGCCUGGUCACUGCAGCCCCAGGUGUCCUGUCCCAGGUGCAGCUGCAAGAGUCGGGCCCAGGACUGGUGAAGUCCUCACAGACCAUCUCCCUAAGUUGUGCUGUCCCCAGAUACUCCAUCACCAGUGGUUAUGGCUGGUCCUGGAUCCGCCAGUCCACAGAGAAGGGGCUUCAGUGGACUGGGUAUAUAAGUUAUAGUGGUAGCACUAAUUACAACCCAUCCCUCAAGAGCCGCAGCUCCAUUUCCAGAGACACAUCCAAGUAUGAGUUUUCCCUGCAGCUGAGCUCCAUGACCACUGACGACACGGUUGUGUAUUACUGUGCGAGAGGCACAGUGAAAGGCAGUCAAUAG